CAGCAGUGCAAGGUUGAGGAUCUAGGACAACAGACUGCUGUAGGAGGAGUUUGAUUAUGAAAGAAUUCCACUGGCCUGAGGCAUGCUGUUCAGUCAUGAAUCACCAUCCACAAAGGGCUGCACCUCUUUCUCAGACCCGGAAAGUUUCCACACUUUCAGAAGUUUUUGGUUGCGAUGAGGAACGUUCAGGAUGACCUUAGAGAUACUGCUAGUCCUCUUCACCUUGAUCUGGCAAAACAAACAAGGCAGGCAGCUACUUCCCUGAGGAACACACUCCUUCAAAAGGCCAUCAAUGUGUAGAGUACUUCAGCUCCUGCUUUCAGACAGAGGAUUCCUGUGCUUCAGACAUCGGAGAGAACCUGGAGGUAACAGAGGAAUCACUGGAGAAGGAGUGUUUUUAAAGAUUUAUACUUCAGGCAUUUGCAAGUAAAUGUCAUUUGUGGCCAGAGGAGACGGAUUUCACUUUGUUGAAAGCUCAUAAUUAUGAUUAUAAGAAUAUCAAAACAAAAAGUCUUUUUUCCUGUUGUGUUUAUUGUGUUAUUAGUCAUUAGUUUAUACAGUAAAUAAUAGUAGAAUAUAUUUAGUAAAUAUUAACAUAAGUGUGUCUGUGUGUUUAAUUGUGUGUAAUAUGUGCAUUGUUGUGUAUAUAAAUAUACCCCGUCAACUGUCCAAAAAAGCACAUGAGAGUAUUUUUUAAGUUAUGGAAUCUUGCAGACCUAACAGCUUUGGUAUAAUUACUGAUUAAUUACUGAUUUAAUCAGAGGUGGUAUUAACUGACGCUUGACUAUUAGUAGUCAUGAUUGAGGUAGACUAAAGGCAUUAGCUGAAAGCGAUAUGAACCACAAGGCUUUUCAUCGAUG